rnacentral:rRNA from 1 species
GUGGGGAAUAUUGGGCAAUGGGCGCAAGCCUGACCCAGCAACGCCGCGUGAGGGAAGAAGGCUUUCGGGUUGUAAACCUCUGUCCUUGGUGACGAAACAAAUGACGGUAGCCAAGGAGGAAGCCCCGGCUAACUACGUGCCAGCAGCCGCGGUAAUACGUAGGGGGCGAGCGUUGUCCGGAAUUACUGGGCGUAAAGGGUGCGUAGGUGGCCUUUUAAGUUGGAUGUGAAAUACCCGGGCUUAACUUGGGGGGUGCAUCUAAUACUGGAGGGCUAGAGUGCAGGAGAGGAAAGCGGAAUUCCUAGUGUAGCGGUGAAAUGCGUAGAUAUUAGGAGGAACACCAGUGGCGAAGGCGGCUUUCUGGACUGUAACUGACACUGAGGCACGAAAGCGUGGGGAGCAAACAGGAUUAGAUACCCUGGUAGUCC